rnacentral:rRNA from 1 species
GACGGAAGGUGCAAGCGUUGCUCGGAAUCACUGGGCGUAAGGGUGCGUAGGCGGCCGCGCAAGUCUGGCGUGAAAGCCCCGGGCUCAGCCCGGGAAGGGCGCUCGAAACGGCGCGGCUCGAGCGCCGGAGGGGAGAGUGGAAUUCCUGGCGUAGCGGUGGAAUGCGUAGAGAUCCGGAAGAACACCAGUGGCGAAGGCGGCCUGCUGGGCAGUUGCUGACGCUGAGGCGCGACAGCGUGGGGAGCAAACGGG